GAUGACUAUGAAGUCGUCCAUGGGGGCCGGGCAAGAAAUGAGGAAGGGCAGCAAGACAACCACAGCGGUGAGGGCGGGCGAGAAGACGAAGAAUCUCCAGGACAUGAUCACGACGGUGAUGCUGUACACAGUCAUCAUGUAGAAGAUGCAGGACAUGAUGAUGAGGAAGAUCAAGACGAAGGGCAUGAUCAUGAAGAUGAAGAUGCCGGAGCAGACGACGAUGGACCAUCGAUGGGCUGGGUGCAGGACCCUCAUAUUCAAGAGCUGCUUCUCAAGCAGACGGAUAACGCAAGAGCUGCCGCCCAAGAGAAAGCCAAGCUGGAUCAACUGGAGAUAGACGCGGUUACUCCAUUGUAUGAAGGAUGCAGGCCCGAGGAUACCCGCCUGAAAGUAACGCUCAUGGCUCUGGAGAUGAAGGUAAAACACAAAAUGACCGACGCAUGCUUUGACGAGAACAUGUCAUUCUGGCACGAACGUCUUCCCAAGGGGAACAAG
rnacentral:rRNA from 1 species